AUUGAACGCUGGCGGCAUGCUUUACACAUGCAAGUCGAACGGUAACAGGCCGCAAGGUGCUGACGAGUGGCGAACGGGUGAGUAAUGCAUCGGAACGUGCCCAGUCGUGGGGGAUAACUGCUCGAAAGAGCAGCUAAUACCGCAUACGAUCUAUGGAUGAAAGCGGGGGAACGUAAGGCCUCGCGCGAUUGGAGCGGCCGAUGUCGGAUUAGGUAGUUGGUGGGGUAAAGGAUCACCAAGCCAACGAUCUGUAGCUGGUCUGAGAGGACGACCAGCCACACUGGGACUGAGACACGGCCCAGACUCCUACGGGAGGCAGCAGUGGGGAAUUUUGGACAAUGGGGGCAACCCUGAUCCAGCAAUGCCGCGUGCAGGAAGAAGGCCUUCGGGUUGUAAACUGCUUUUGUACGGAACGAAACGGUCUGGGUUAAUACCCUGGGCUAAUGACGGUACCGUAAGAAUAAGCACCGGCUAACUACGUGCCAGCAGCCGCGGUAACAC
rnacentral:rRNA from 1 species